UACGUAGGGGGCAAGCGUUGUCCGGAAUCAUUGGGCGUAAAGAGCGUGUAGGCGGUCCGGUAAGUCGGUUGUGAAGACUGGGGGCUCAACCCUCAGAGGCCGACCGAUACUGUCGGGCUAGAGUCCGGAAGAGGCGAGUGGAAUUCCUGGUGUAGCGGUGAAAUGCGCAGAUAUCAGGAGGAACACCAAUGGCGAAGGCAGCUCGCUGGGACGGUACUGACGCUGAGGCGCGAAAGCGUGGGGAGCAAACAGG
rnacentral:rRNA from 1 species